rnacentral:rRNA from 1 species
ACUCCUACGGGAGGCAGCAGUGGGGAAUAUUGGACAAUGGGCGAAAGCCUGAUGCAGCAACGCCGCGUGAGGGAUGACGGCCUUCGGGUUGUAAACCUCUUUCAGUACCGACGAAGUGGUGACGGUAGGUACAGAAGAAGCACCGGCCAACUACGUGCCAGCAGCCGCGGUAAUACGUAGGGUGCGAGCGUUGUCCGGAAUUAUUGGGCGUAAAGGGCUCGUAGGCGGUUUGUCGCGUCGGGAGUGAAAACCCAGGGCUUAACUCUGGGCUGGCUUUCGAUACGGGCAGACUAGAGGUAUGCAGGGGAGAACGGAAUUCCUGGUGUAGCGGUGAAAUGCGCAGAUAUCAGGAGGAACACCGGUGGCGAAGGCGGUUCUCUGGGCAUUACCUGACGCUGAGGAGCGAAAGUGUGGGGAGCGAACAGGAUUAGAUACCCUGGUAGUCCACACCGUAAACGUUGGGCGCUAGGUGUGGGGCCUAUUCCAUGGGUUCCGUGCCGCAGCUAACGCAUUAAGCGCCCCGCCUGGGGAGUACGGCCGCAAGGCUAAAACUCAAAGGAAUUGACGGGGGCCCGCACAAGCGGCGGAGCAUGCGGAUUAAUUCGAUGCAACGCGAAGAACCUUACCUGGGUUUGACAUAUGCCGGAAACACCUAGAGAUAGGUGCCCUUUUGUCGGUAUACAGGUGGUGCAUGGCCGUCGUCAGCUCGUGUCGUGAGAUGUUGGGUUAAGUCCCGCAACGAGCGCAACCCUCGUUCUAUGUUGCCAGCAGUAAUGGUGGGGACUCAUAGGAGACUGCCGGGGUCAACUCGGA